GGGCGGUUAGCUCAGUUGGUUAGAGCACCAGCCUCACAUGCUGGGGUCACUGGUUCGAGUCCAGUACCGCCCA
rnacentral:tRNA from 1 species